GGAACAUUUAUUUUUUCACACAGGUUUUAAAGAAAUACAUUAUGUUGGUUUCUAGUGUAUUGUACAGAAUCCAUUCUCAUUCUUUACUUGCUACAUUAUGACUAUGAGGAGGGCAGAGUAGAGGUGAACUCUCUGUAUACUUGCUGAAAGUCUUCUUGUACACAUUGCUUUUUGUACCCGUCGCUUCUAGCUAUGUAUCUUCCUGUUCUCUGCCCUCGUCUCAAACUAUGUUGCCACCUCAAUUAAUCAGGCACUUGAAUUCACAUUGUGUAGAAUACUCAAGGUUGAUGAUAGACUGGGAAGGAGGAGGAAGGAGGCAGAGAUAAGCGAUGGGGGAUACUGAGCCCUAUUUAGACUUUGGUCCGCCAGCUUUUGGAUGAACUUAGCACAUUACUGGCUAUGCAGGACUAACCUCUAUGGGAUGCAAAAUGACUCCAAGUAUGGAACAACAUUGCAAAAAUGGACUUCAAUAUUACAUGAAGGAUUUGGCUGCUUUAUAUAAAUAUAGAAACAAGCCCAGUAGAUUACUCCACUAAAGGUGACUAAGCAAAUGUUACAGUUCAAAUUGCACUCAAGAAGUCAAUCGAGAAAUAAUUCUAUCACCAAGCCCGUGGACCUACCCCCCAAUCUGGUCCCUCUCCCAGAACUCCUUGGGCUCUCUCAAGACCCAGCAAUUCAGGUGUUAACAUAACCCUGUCCAGUGGUAUGGCCAGUGUCUUAGUCCAAUCUUUUGCCAUACCAGUCAUUACAUAUUUUGAAUACCAACUUGGUGGAGGAAUUUCAGCUCCCUUUCAGCAGUAGCCUAGUGGGCACCACAUCUCUAUUCUUCAUUCCCCAUUCCAGCUUGAUGCUGAAGGGAUGAGGCUUCCAGACUCCAAACCCCUCUCAGAGUCUUCAUCUGCUUGUUGCAUUUUUUCAUUCAGCUCCUGAAGGAAUGCCAAGACAUGCAAAGCCUCAGAAUCUGCUCCAUUUUUAGAAAGUCGCAUUUUGGCAAUUUUUUGCAGUUUGUCUUUCAUCUUUUCUUUCUCCCUUGAUUUCUGGUUUAUUUUUACACCCUCUAUAAAGUGGUGGAUGGCCUUGUCUUCACACUUCAUUUGGUACAGCUGAAAGUUGCCAUACCGCAGAUGGAGCAGUUGUUUCGCUACAGGAAGGAAAGGCCAUGUGAAGAUAAAGAAAAGG
rnacentral:lncRNA from 10 species